rnacentral:tRNA from 1 species
GGGGAUCUAGCUCAGUGGUAGAGCGCUUGCCUAGCAAGCACAAGGCCCUGGGUUCGGUCCCCAGCUCUG